UACGUAGGGUGCAAGCGUUAAUCGGAAUUACUGGGCGUAAAGCGUGCGCAGGCGGUUUGGUAAGACAGGUGUGAAAUCCCCGGGCUUAACCUGGGAAUUGCAUUUGUGACUGCCCGGCUAGAAUCUGGCAGAGGGGGGUAGAAUUCCACGUGUAGCAGUGAAAUGCGUAGAUAUGUGGAGGAACACCGAUGGCGAAGGCAGCCCCCUGGGUUAACACUGACGCUCAUGCACGAAAGCGUGGGGAGCAAACAGG
rnacentral:rRNA from 1 species